rnacentral:rRNA from 1 species
AUGGGUACACCCGGUGAUCAUGAUGCAUUAAACGCUAGGCGCUGCACCAGUAGCAAAGCCUCAAGACCCCUCGCGCCCGCCGUCGCCCAAUCCCUGGUUUUUAUCCUGAUCAUGUCGAGUAGGCUAGUUAGGAUGAGUCGGGUGUCUUCGAAGAUGAUCGUGUUGCGAUGCUUCCAUAUGCAUCAUGCCACUAGCAUGAUGCAAACAUGCCCUUCCAAGCAGAGGUCUGGGCGGAGAGGCAUGUUUCCUACCACCAGCUCACCAGUCCACAAAGUCACCCCCAUGACGGGUGGACGAGCCAUCAACCGUAUCCAAAAGAGCACCAAAUGCCACAUUGUGCAUGAAAAGAAGCAGUCGUGA